rnacentral:rRNA from 1 species
GACGAACGCUGGCGGCGCGCUUAACACAUGCAAGUCGAACGGAAAGGCCUGCUUUCCCUUGUGGAUUGCGGGUACUCGAGUGGCGAACGGGUGAGUAACACGUGAGUGAUCUGCCCCCAACUUGGGUAUAAGCCUGGGAAACUGGGUCUAAUUCCCGAUAGGACUGCAGGGUGGUGCCUGUGGUGGAAAACGAUUUUCUAGUGGUUGGGGAUGAGCUCGCGGCCUAUCAGCUUGUUGGUGGGGUAAUGGCCUACCAAGGCGGCGACGGGUAGCCGGCCUGAGAGGGUGGACGGCCACAUUGGGACUGAGAUACGGCCCAGACUCCUACUGGAGGCAGCACUGAGGAAUAUGGCACAAUGGUCUGAAGCCUGAUGCAGCGACGCCGCGUGGGGGAUGACGGCCUUCGGGUGGUAAACUCCUUUCGACCGCGAGGAAGCCACCUGGUUGGAAGGGUGGUGACGGUAGUGGUAGAAGAAGCACCGGCUAACUACGUG